UGAGCUGUUUCAGAGUGGCUGCUGUGCU
rnacentral:piRNA from 1 species